ACGAUAGUGUCACUGCACUCCAGCCUGAGCAACAGAGUGAGCCUCUGUCUCUAAACAAUAAAAAAUAAAUGUUUGGCUUAAUAAAUUAUAUUUUGAUGUGGCUGUCAACUUGGGGCUACAGAAUAAGGAAAUACAUCAGUGGGUGGAAGGAGGAGUCUCUACAAAUCUCUGGAAAGGAAAAGUCAUGAAAUAAUAGGUGGGAAACUGGAAAAUGGGUGUUUAAAGAGAAAAAGGAACAUUUUCUUCUUCCUUGGCCUUGGUUUCAAAAAGUCAAGCUGUGCUCAGGGAUGUGUGUGGGUAGAGAAGACGAGAAAUAUAGUCAGGCAACCCUGCAGAACCGUGAGCUCCUUCUCCUCUUCCAGGAUUCUGGGAAGAUGAGGUGGCCUACAGGACCAAGAGACCAAAGCUGUAUCGAGAACCAGAGUUCCCUCUGUUGCCAGUGUCAGUAAGGAAUUCCUCCAUGGGAGUUCCACACUUGAAUAGAGCUAGCUGAUCACAGAAGAGAAGGUCAGAGAGAUGCAUUCAGGCCGGCCUGGAAAAAAGCAAACAUUCAUAUUGGGAACUACCACUGGUGGCGACAUGUUACCGAACUGCAAGCAGUAUCUGGAAGCUAAGAGUCAUCCCUGGUCAACAACUAACAGGACAACAGGGACCUUAAUCCUACAGUUACAAGGACUGCCAACAAGUGACCUUGGAUAAAGACCCUAAGCCCCAGAUGAGAACUGAAACCCUGGCAACACCUUGAUUUCAGUGAGAUCCUAUACAGAGAAUCUAGCCACACUGUGGCCUGGACUUCUGACCUACAAUAACUAUGAGAUAAUAAAUGUGUUCUUUUUAGCCACUAAAUUUGUGAUAAUUUUUUAUGCAGCAUUUAAAAAGUAACACAAUCUGCAUAAUAAAUUCCUACAAAUGAAAUUGCUAGAUCAAGGGGACAUGCACUUAAAAUUUAUAAAUAUAUUACAAAAUUGCUCUUCAAAUACCUCACAUCUUUGUUGUUGUUGUUGUUGUUGUUGAGACAGGGUCUCACUAUGUCUCCCAGGCUGGAGUGUAGUGGUGAUCACAACUCACUAUAGCCACAAACUCCUGAGCUCAGGUGAUCCUCCCACCUCAAUCAGCCUCCUGAGUAGCUGGGACUAUAGGUAAGUGCCUCUAUGCACAGCUAAUUUUUUGUGUUUUAUUUUGUAGAGAUGGGAUUUCAACAUGUUGACCAGGCUGGUCUUGAACUCUUGGGCUCAAGUGAUCCACUCACCUGAGCCUCCAAAAGUACUGGGAUUACAGGCAUGAGCCACCAUGCUCAACUUACACCAAUUUAAACAUCCACC
rnacentral:lncRNA from 10 species